rnacentral:rRNA from 1 species
UGGGGGAUAUUGCACAAUGGGCGAAAGCCUGAUGCAGCGACGCCGCGUGGGGGAUGAAGGCCUUCGGGUUGUAAACUUCUUUUGCUCUGAACAAGGCAUGCCUUUGGGGUGUGUUGAGUGUAGGGGUUGAUUAGCGCCGGCUAACUACGUGCCAGCAGCCGCGGUAAUACGUAGGGCGCGAGCGUUGUCCGGAAUUAUUGGGCGUAAAGGGCUUGUAGGUGGCUGGUUGCGUCUGUCGUGAAAGCUCAUGGCUUAACUGUGGGUUUGCGGUGGGUACGGGCUGGCUUGAGUGCAGUAGGGGGGGCUGUAAUUCCUGGUGUAGCGGUGGAAUGCGCAGAUAUCAGGAGGAAUACCGGUGGCGAAGGCGGGUCUCUGGGCUGUUACUGACGCUGAGGAGCGAAAGCGUGGGGAGCGAACAGG